rnacentral:lncRNA from 1 species
AACCGGUACCCCUCUGUAACGGCCCGAACCAUCACUGGCACUAGGAUCCAGAUCGGCUUAAGGCCGCCGGGACCCGUAGUAAGCCGACUAUACUCUCUGUGUACCUGAUAAAUCCCAUACAUGAUAUAAAACGACUUAACAAUCCUGUAAAACUCUGUAGGCUUAACUACUGCUACUCAGAUAUGUUAAUCUGAAAGGGCCCUCAGGGCCUAUACCAGGAACUACCAUCUCUGUGGUUCAAGGGAUUGUAACCCUUUUCAUCUGUAACACAAUCCACUGGUAUCUCAUCAAAGCCAUACAUAAAG